CCCACUGACCACCAAUGCCUGACAUUACGCAGGCACUGCCAUCCCUGAGUUCACAUCGGGCCCUCAUCAGGCUGCUUCCCAUGGCCCCCCAUCACCUUCCUUGUGCUUCUGGUGUUGUUCCUGCAGAUAGUGCACAUUAAAUGGGUGCUUACAUCUUACGUCUCACGUCCAUGCAAUGAUUUCAGGGGCAGGGCUUCGUGUGUUGCAGACCACCAACAGCCAGUCUCAGGCCAGCACUGCCGAUAUUCAACAAGCUCCCAUCUAACAUAAAACUCUGGAGAUCAUUCAGAAGAACAUGACUGACUUGUUGAAGACCCUACCAAUUGAAGCUUUCCAGCACUGUUACCGAGACUGGAAUAAUGACUCUGCUGGUGUGCAGCAACUGAUGUGAACUACUUUCAAGUUGCAGGUACACGUCUGCAGUGCGGUAAGCCGCCGCACCACAUUUCCGCAGCACGCCGCCAGAUGGGCCAAAUCCCUUUGAUAAAGUGAAGCAUCGUGCGG